rnacentral:rRNA from 1 species
GGAUUAGAUACCCUGGUAGUCCACGCCGUAAACGAUGAUAACUAGCUGCCGGGGCACAUGGUGUUUCGGUGGCGCAGCUAACGCAUUAAGUUAUCCGCCUGGGGAGUACGGUCGCAAGAUUAAAACUCAAAGGAAUUGACGGGGGCCUGCACAAGCGGUGGAGCAUGUGGUUUAAUUCGAAGCAACGCGCAGAACCUUACCAACGUUUGACAUCCUCAUCGCGAUUUCCAGAGAUGGAUUUCUUCAGUUCGGCUGGAUGAGUGACAGGUGCUGCAUGGCUGUCGUCAGCUCGUGCCG